GAUGAACGCUGGCGGCGUGCCUAACACAUGCAAGUCGAACGGAGAUUACGGACGGAAGUUUUCGGAUGGAAGCCUGUAAUUCUUAGUGGCGGACGGGUGAGUAACGCGUGGGCAACCUGCCCUAUACAGGGGGAUAGCAGCUGGAAACGGCUGGUAAGACCGCAUAAGUCGGUUAAAUCGCAUGAUUUGAUCGGGAAAUGAGCAAUCAGGUAUAGGAUGGGCCCGCGUCCGAUUAGCCAGUUGGCAGGGUAAAAGCCUACCAAAGCAACGAUCGGUAGCCGGACUGAGAGGUCGGACGGCCACAUUGGGACUGAGACACGGCCCAAACUCCUACGGGAAGCAGCAGUGGGGGAUAUUGCACAAUGGAGGAAACUCUGAUGCAGCGACGCCGCGUGAGUGAAGAAGUAUUUCGGUAUGUAAAGCUCUAUCAGCAGGGAAGAUGAUGACGGUACCUGACUAAGAAGCCCCGGCUAACUACGUG
rnacentral:rRNA from 1 species